rfam:Arabis alpina cultivar Pajares Aa.chr3_contig_1280, whole genome shotgun sequence.
AGCUACAUGAUUGUCACCUGCUAAAAUUGGAACAAUACAGAAAAAAUUAGCAUGCCCCUUUGCAACGAUGACACGCUUAAUUCGAGAAUUGGUCCAAAAAAAU